rnacentral:misc_RNA from 1 species
GCCAUUGAGAAAGUGGGGCCUGAUGGGGUCUUAUCCAUUGAGUCAUCCUCUUCCUUUGAGACCACUGUUGAAGUUGAAGAGGGGAUGGCGAUUGACAGAGGCUAUAUUUCUCCUCAGUUUGUCACGAACCCUGAGAAAUUAAUUGCUGAAUUUGAGAAUGCACGAGUGUUGAUUACAGAUCAGAAAAUUUCAGCUAUAAAGGAUAUAAUCCCUAUAUUGGAAAAAACCACACAAUUGAGAGCUCCUUUGCUUAUCAUUGCAGAGGAUGUUACUGGUG